rnacentral:rRNA from 1 species
UACGUAGGGUGCAAGCGUUGUCCGGAAUUAUUGGGCGUAAAGGGCUCGUAGGCGGUCCAUCGCGUCGGGGAGUGAAAAGCUGGGGCUUAACCCCAGUCCUGCUUUCGAUACGGGUGGACUAGAGGUAGGCAGGGGGAGAACGGAAUUCCUGGUGUAGCGGUGAAAUGCGCAGAUAUCAGGAGGAACACCGGUGGCGAAGGCGGGUCUCUGGGCAACAACUGACGCUGAGGAGCGAAAGCGUGGGGAGCGAACAGG